rnacentral:rRNA from 1 species
UUCGGCCAUAUUACGUUGAAACCCCGGCUCUCGUACGAUCACCGAAGUUAAGCAGAGUUGAGCCUGGACAGUACCUAGAUGGGUAACCGCUUGAGGAUAACAGGUGCUGUAAG